rnacentral:rRNA from 1 species
UACGGAGGGUGCAAGCGUUAUCCGGAUUUACUGGGUUUAAAGGGUGCGCAGGCGGAUAUGUAAGUCAGUGGUGAAAUCUCUAGGCUUAACCUGGAAAUUGCCGUUGAUACUAUAUAUCUUGAAUGCUGUGGAGGUAAGCGGAAUAUGUCAUGUAGCGGUGAAAUGCUUAGAUAUGACAUAGAACACCUAUUGCGAAGGCAGCUUACUACGCAGAUAUUGAGGCUCAUGCACGAAAGCGUGGGGAUCAAACAGG